rnacentral:rRNA from 1 species
GAGAGUUUGAUCCUGGCUCAGGACGAACGCUGGCGGCGUGCCUAAUACAUGCAAGUAGAACGCUGAGAACUGGUGCUUGCACCGGUUCAAGGAGUUGCGAACGGGUGAGUAACGCGUAGGUAACCUACCUCAUAGCGGGGGAUAACUAUUGGAAACGAUAGCUAAUACCGCAUAAGAGAGACUAACGCAUGUUAGUAAUUUAAAAGGGGCAAUUGCUCCACUAUGAGAUGGACCUGCGUUGUAUUAGCUAGUUGGUGAGGUAAAGGCUCACCAAGGCGACGAUACAUAGCCGACCUGAGAGGGUGAUCGGCCACACUGGGACUGAGACACGGCCCAGACUCCUACGGGAGGCAGCAGUAGGGAAUCUUCGGCAAUGGGGGCAACCCUGACCGAGCAACGCCGCGUGAGUGAAGAAGGUUUUCGGAUCGUAAAGCUCUGUUGUUAGAGAAGAAUGAUGGUGGGAGUGGAAAAUCCACCAAGUGACGGUAACUAACCAGAAAGGGACGGCUAACUACGUGCCAGCAGCCGCGGUAAUACGUAGGUCCCGAGCGUUGUCCGGAUUUAUUGGGCGUAAAGCGAGCGCAGGCGGUUUUUUAAGUCUGAAGUUAAAGGCAUUGGCUCAACCAAUGUACGCUUUGGAAACUGGAGAACUUGAGUGCAGAAGGGGAGAGUGGAAUUCCAUGUGUAGCGGUGAAAUGCGUAGAUAUAUGGAGGAACACC